CUACCUGACCACCCUCCACCCUCCACCACCCUCCACCCUCCCUGACCACCCUAUACCCUACCUGACUCCCCUCCACCCUGCCUGACUACCCUAUACCCUACCUGACUACCCUCCACCCUACCUGACCACCCUCCACCCUACCUGACCACCCUAUACCCUACCUGACCACCCUCCACCCUACCUGACCACCCUAUACCCUACCUGACUAACCUCCACCCUACCUGACCACCCUCCACCCUACCUGACCACCCUAUACCCUACCUGACUCCCCUCCACCCUGCCUGACUACCCUAUACCCUACCUGGCUACCCUCCACCCUACCUGACCACCCUCCACCCUACCUGACCACCCUCCACCCUACCUGACCACCCUAUACCCUUCCUGACUACCCUCCACCCUACCUGACCACCCUCCACCCUAUCUGACCACCCCGCCUGACUACCCUGCACCCUACCUGACCACCUUAUACCCUACCUAACCACGCUACCUGAUCACCUUAUACCCUAUCUGACCACCCUCCACCUUACCUGACCACCCUCCACCCUACCUGACCACCUUAUACUCUACCUGACCACCCUAAACCCUACCUGACUACCCUCCACCUUACCUGACCACCCUCCACCCUACCUGACCACCUUAUACCCUACAUGACCACCCUCCACCCUACCUGACCACCCUCCACCCUACCUGACCACCCUCCACCCUACCUGACCACCUUAUACCCUACUUAUUUUGGUUUCAUUUAUUUAUACCAAAGAAAACAAGUGACAGACAACAAUACAGAUCAAAUCAAUAAUAAAUGUUGUGCAGGUUGGAAGGGCUGAUUUAAAAACAACACCUCCAAAAACAAUAUACAAUACAGAUGUAGACAAAGGUUUGUUUAAACAGAUAACAAAACCUACUAAUUAUGAAUGUAUAAAUUAAUCAGUAAUCAUUAAACAAAUAAAUACAUAUUUUUGUUUUGUUUAAAUGUGAGAGUUGGGCUAUAUGGAAGGGUUUACUGAGUAGUUUGGUUCAUCAAGCUGACCUCCAGUCUUAACUUGACGUUAUUGAGGGAUGAUGAUGUUUUGGCAAUGUGAAGAUAAGAAUUCCAGAGUACCUCUGUAUCUGAAAGAGAAUUGAUUAAAUGAGGUGUGACAGUGGGGAGGGUGAACGUUAUAUAGAUUAAUUUUAUAAUGAACCUGGAAGAAUCCAUUGAAGGGUUUAGGUCAACUGUCUUUGAGGUAUGAGUAUAUGUAGAUGAAAGUGCAUAAUUGGUGCACAUUAAUGUUGUAAAUAGACAAGAUAUUGAGUUUCUUAAACAAAGCUGCAGAUGGAGCCAGGUAAUUAGAGUAGGUGUCUAGUCAUGCACAUUUCUUUUGUAUGAUGAGUAAUUUGUGUAGGUAGAAGGCAUAUCUACUGGCCCAGACAAUAUUACAGUAAAUGAGAUAUGGGUAACUGAAGCUCCAGUAUAGAGAUAUGGGUAACUGAAGCUCCAGUUUAGAGAUAUGGGUAACUGAAGCUCCAGUAUAGAGAUAUGGGUAACUGAAGCUCCAGUAUAGAGAUAUGGGUAACUGAAGCUCCAGUAUAGAGAUAUGGGUAACUGAAGCUCCAGUAUAGAGAUAUGGGUUAGUUAUAUGAGUUAGGAAGCCUGACGAACCAAACCACUCAUAUAUCUGAUAUCAACACAUUUCAUCACUUUACUGCAGACGGAAUGUGAUCUUUCCAGGGUAACUUGUCAUCUAUUAAAACUCCCUGGAAUCUAGUGGAUGUGACUUGUUCCGUUUCAUUCACACCAAUUGAGAUUCUGGCUCUUUAACAAUAUUUCUUAUUCUUACUAUUGAAUACAAUAACGUAGGAUUUUUUUAUAUUUAAAGAUGAAUUGUGUAUUUGGAACCAUUCAGAACAUUUGGCAAUGCCUGUGUUAGCUUAAUUAAUUAGUGAAUCAAAAUGAUUGUGUUAUAAAAUCUAAUUGAUGUCAUCAACAAAGAGAAUGAGAAGUACAGUAGAAGACAAAGCAGUAAGGUUAUUGAUAUAGUUUAGUAUGUAAUGGUAGAAGACACAGCAACAAGGUUAUUGAUAUAGAUUAGUAUGGUAUAAGACCCAGCAGUAAGGUUAUUGAUUUAGCUUAGUAUUGAUUGGUAGAAGACAGCAACAAGGAUAUAGAUUAGUAUGGAAUGGUAGAAGACACAGCAACAAUGUUAUUGUUAUAGAUUAGUAUGGUAGAAGACUCAGCAGUAGGGUUAUUGAUAUAGAUUAGUAUGGUAGAAGACACAGCAACAAGGUUAUUGUUAUAGAUUAGUAUGGUAGAAGACUCAGCAGUAAGGUUAUUGAUAUAGAUUAGUAUGGAUUGGUAGAAGACAGCAACAAGGAUAUAGAUUAGUAUGGAAUGGUAGAAGACACAGUAACAAGGUAUUGAUAUAGAUUUGUAUGUUAUGGUAGAAGACUCAGCAGUAAGGUUAUUGAUAUAGAUUAGUAUGGUAGAAGACACAGCAACAAGGUUAUUGAUAUAGAUUAGUAUGGUAGAAGACUCAGCAGUAAGGUUAUUGAUAUAGAUUAGUGUGGUGGAAGACCCAGCAGUAAGGUUAUUGAUAUAGAUUAGUAUGGUAGAAGACUCAGCAGGAAGGUUAUUGAUAUAGAUUAGUAUGGUGGAAGACUCAGCAGUAAGGUUAUUGAUAUAGAUUAGUGUGGUAGAAGACUCAGCAGUAAGGUUAUUGAUAUAGAUUAGUAUGGUAGAAGACUCAGCAGUAAGGUUAUUGAUAUAGAUUAGUAUGGUAGAAGACUCAGCAGUAAGGUUAUUGAUAUAGAUUAGUAUGGUAGAAGACCCAGCAGGAAGGUUAUUGAUAUAGAUUAGUAUGGUAGAAGACCCAGCAGGAAGGUUAUUGAUAUAGAUUAGUAUGGUAGAAGACCCAGCAGUAAGGUUAUUGAUAUAGAGUUGAAGUCUGAAGUUUACAUUACACUUAGGUUGGAGUCAUUAAAACUCAUUUUUCAACCACUCCACACAUUUCUUGUUCACAAACUAUAGUUUUGGCAAGUCGGUUAGAUCUACUUUGUGCGUGACACCGGUCAUUUUUCCAACAAUUGAUUACAGACAGAUUAUUUCACCUAUAAUUCACUGUAUCACAAUUCCAGUGGGUCAGAAGUUUACAUACACUAAGUUGACUGUGCCUUUAAACAGCUUGUAAAAUUCCAGAAAAUGAUGUCAUGACUUCAGAAGCUUCUGAUGGGCUAAUUGACAUAAUUUGAGUCAAUUGGAGGUGUACCUGUGGAUAUAUUACAAGGCCUACCUUCAAACUCAGUGCCUCUUUGCUUGACAUUGGAAAAUCAACAGAAAUCAGACAAGACCUCAGAAAAAUAUUUGAGACCUUCAAAAGCCUGGUUCAUCCUUGGGAGAAAUUUCCAAACGCCUGAAGGUACCAAAUUCAUCUGUACAAGCAAUAGUACGCAGGUAUAAACACCAUGGGACCACGCAGCCGUUAUACCUCUCAGGAAGGAGACGUGUUCUUUCUUCUCAGAUAUGAACAUUCUUUGGUGCAAAAAGUGCAAAUCAAUCCCAAGUCAAAUAAGAGUCCUAUAUCGACAUAACUUGAAAGGCCGCUCGGCAAGGAAGAAGCCACUGCUCCAAAACCGCCGUAAAAUAGCCAGAUUACGGUUUGCAACUGCACAUGGGGACAAAGAUGGUUCUUUUUGGAGAAAUGUCUGAUGAAACAAAAAUAGAACUGUUUGGCCAUAAUGACCAUCGUUAUGUUUGGAGGAAAAAGGGGGAGGCUUGCAAGCCAAAGAACACCAUCCCAAAUGGGUCUUCCAAAUGGACAAUGACCCCAAGCAUACUUCAGAAGUUGUGGCAAAAUGGCUUAAGGACAACAAAGUAAUUGGAGUGGCCAUCACAAAGCCCUGACCUCAACCCUAUAGGAAAGUUUUGGGCAGAACUGAGAAAGCGUGUGUGAGCAAGGAGGCCUACAAACCUGACUCAGUUACACCAGCUCUAUCAGGAGGAAUGGCCAGAAUUCACCCAACUUAUUGUGGGAAGCUUGUGGAAGGCUACCCGAAACGUUUGACCCAAAUUAAACCAUUUAAAGGCAAUGCUACUAAAUACUAAUUGAGUGUAUGUAAACUUCUGACCCACUGGGAAUGUGAUGAAAUUAAUAAAAAUAAUCUUCGAUUAUUCUGACAUUUCACAUUCUUACACUAAAGUGUUGAUCCUAACUGACCUAAGACAGGGAAUCUUUCAUUGUUGUUGAAUGUUUGCGCUCACUCAAACACAAAUAAAGAUGCAUUCUUUGGAGGGGGACUGAGACAGGUGUAAUGGCGGACUGAACAAAGAUAAAAACGUAAUAUUCAAUACCGGCAAGUUAGACAAAAAAAUUAGCACUACACAAUCUGGUGGGUGAUGACCUUCAAUCUGGAUAACAACACAAAACAAAUCUUAAGACUAGAGACAUUUAUCGACAAAUAUUACGAAGACAAGCAACACCUGUUAGAGUUGCGUAAAUUCGAAUCUGGGCUCAGGAUAAAUAUAACAAUGAGUCACCGAUUUUAUACUAUGUAUUUUUUAUUAGCUAAGUAAUAAAUGGCAAAUGCAACUUUCGUAUAUACGGGCUCACUGUAAUACCACGCAGGGCAGAACAGAGAACUGACAAGACGUAUGUAAAACAGUAUUCUUUAUACUGUGAUAGAGAGUUCCGACCUGUCUGUUGGCCUAUCACAGUAGAGACUGGGCGUGGUUUAAACUUGUCCAGCCUAUUGCAGGCGCUCAGGCGGGUCCCCGCCUCUUGGCGCUUCUGUUGAUAGAUGUAACUUGCUUGUGAAGAACAUCCAGGUUCUCAUGCUCCAUACCGUUAUCUCGCACCUGGCUCCUGUUAUCUAACAAAAGACCGCUUGUUCUCGCAACACCCCGCUCUGAAUGUGCCCCCCUCCCAA